AUCGAGUGCUAACUCCUAUUUCUCAUUGACAUUUCUUAUUGAAUUAACUGAUCUCCGUGCUAUUGGACUUUUAUUUUGAAUUCGAUAAUUUUCGCAAAAGAAAAAAAAAUGGACAUAUUUUGUUUAUUAUUAUGAGAAUUAACCUUACUAUUUUGGGUUCUCGAGUUUUCACGCUUGAAAGCAAAACCUGGGCCGAAUCAUUCACCCCUUCCCUCUCAAUACUACGUGGCUAUCGGUCACCCAGAAGUAUUUAGCCUUGCAAGGUGGUCCUUGUUGAUUCCCCCGGGAUUCCACGUGUCCCAUGCUACUCGAGUUAGAGUGUAAGCUAGUGAUAUUUUCGGCUACUGGACUUUUGCCAUCUAGGGUGCAGCAUUUGUAUUGCUUAGUACGAUGUUUGUAUUGCUCUUCCACAAUACCGUUUUUCAUGAUUUAGGCU
rnacentral:lncRNA from 1 species